ACGCUGGCGGCAGGCCUAACACAUGCAAGUCGAACGAACUCUUCGGAGUUAGUGGCGGACGGGUGAGUAACACGUGGGAACGUGCCUUUAGGUUCGGAAUAACUCAGGGAAACUUGUGCUAAUACCGAAUGUGCCCUUCGGGGGAAAGAUUUAUCGCCUUUAGAGCGGCCCGCGUCUGAUUAGCUAGUUGGUGAGGUAAAGGCUCACCAAGGCGACGAUCAGUAGCUGGUCUGAGAGGAUGAUCAGCCACAUUGGGACUGAGACACGGCCCAAACUCCUACGGGAGGCAGCAGUGGGGAAUCUUGCGCAAUGGGCGAAAGCCUGACGCAGCCAUGCCGCGUGAAUGAUGAAGGUCUUAGGAUUGUAAAAUUCUUUCACCGGGGACGAUAAUGACGGUACCCGGAGAAGAAGCCCCGGCUAACUUCGUGCCAGCAGCCGGGGUAAUAA
rnacentral:rRNA from 1 species